rnacentral:lncRNA from 1 species
GCCUCUACGCCCCAUCUCAGAGCUCCCAGGACCGUCUCUCAUCACCCUGCCCUGAGCCACCACCUGCCGGCCACAGGGAAUCGCCUACAGAAGCGGCCAACAUUCAAUCGCCAUGAAAAUAACACCACCACUCCUCAUCUCAGAUAUCCACCCCAAUUCCCUCAAAACUCACCAAAACUUGUAGAAUUGGUGUUCAAAACCAUGAACCCUAGUGUCGCCAUAGUUUCUCCGGUGGCGGUGCCACCACUAAACUUUCCCAAAAAUACACCCUGGAACCCUUAUUGCUUCCUCUUCCCAAAUCCCUAACCCCAUGCCCUUUGAAUCCCCCUAGGUCGACUCGAAUAUUGAAUUGAAAAUCAAACCUAAACCUAACCUUCCCCAAGCAAUUUAAAACUUAAAUCCCUGUAUCUACAACCUUUGCUCAUGUCAAUUUCAUGACCAAACUCCGAUUUUACCGGAAGUAGAGGCUAAUUGGUUGAGCUUAUCAAGGAGCAACUGAUUAUCCUUAAGUUUUAUUUAUCUCGAGAUGAUUUUAGCUUUUUGUUUCUAUCUAAUGAGGUUCACCCUAGAUUCUGUUCUCAGGUACCUUUGUGCUUUGUUCUUUUUCUCUUUUGCUUCUUUGUUAAGUUCAUGAUUGGGUUGUUGGUCUAGAUUUGUUUAAAUCAUGUCUAGUUAAUUGCAAAAGUUUUAUGGAUUUUGUCUCUAUUUAAGUAGUGGCUUAGUAAUCCUGUGAAGACUUGUUGUGUUUGGUUCAAUAUGUUUUCAAUUGUCAAAAUUUUUUGAAUUUCUUUUUAAGAAUUUUACCUUUUGAUCCGAUUGAAGCCUUUGCAUUUGAAUAGUCAUGUUUGUCACGCUUCAUGAAUCUAUAGAGGGGUCAAUUGUAAGUUUAGAAACUUAAAAGGGUUUCAAAGGAGAGGGCAUGGGUUGUAAUAACUGGUUGAGCGAAGGUUAGUUUAGGGAUUUCAUGAUGUGAGUGAAUCAUUUCUGUUAGGAGAAAGCCUUUAGACGAUAAGAUGCACACUAGUUUGUUAAAGAGCAGGGUUUUUCAGAUAUUUUAGAGGGGUAAAAAGGGUAAAACAAUAAAAAAGGGGUAAAAGAGGAACUGGUUAAUCAUGCCAAGGUUACGUUAGGCAUGCCUAUAUAAAGACCCUUUACCCUUCAUUCCAGAGAGCCCGGAACACUCUAAUUGAUAUACAGAAAUAUAAACUUCACUGUUUCAUUAGAUCCUCAGUGAUUCUGAAUUCUUUUCAAAUUCCUGAAAUAACUUUGUCACAUUUGAGCAUAAAAAUGGUUUGAAGUUGGUUUGCAAAAUCAUCUUAAAGUCUGCUGGGCUCUUUAAACUCGAUUGUUACACAUCUUUGCUAGAUUGAAACUGAUCUUAUUCCUUGUUUUUGCUGGCUAAUUACUGCUGAACCUACACUUCAAUUGCUGAGUUUUUGUAAUUUUUUUGGCUAUAUCCAGGUACACAUUCCUAAAACUCACACAAUGUGAUACUUGAUUGGAGACUGAGAAAUGAAAGUUGGAGUUCUAAAUGUCUGUAUGUUGGACCAUUAGCUUAUAGUUACUUCAUUUUACCUUCCUGUAUUUUUCUCUUAUAAAUAACAUGUGCUUAGUUGAG